AGUGAACGCUGGCGGUAGGCCUAACACAUGCAAGUCGAACGGCAGCACAGUAAGAGCUUGCUCUUACGGGUGGCGGGUGGCGGACGGGUGGGGAAUACAUCGGAAUCUACUUUUUCGUGGGGGAUAACGUAGGGAAACUUACGCUAAUACCGCAUACGACCUACGGGUGAAAGCAGGGGAUCUUCGGACCUUGCGCGAUUGAAUGAGCCGAUGUCGGAUUAGCUAGUUGGCGGGGUAAAGGCCCACCAAGGCGACGAUCCGUAGCUGGUCUGAGAGGAUGAUCAGCCACACUGGAACUGAGACACGGUCCAGACUCCUACGGGAGGCAGCAGUGGGGAAUAUUGGACAAUGGGCGCAAGCCUGAUCCAGCCAUACCGCGUGGGUGAAGAAGGCCUUCGGGUUGUAAAGCCCUUUUGUUGGGAAAGAAAAGCAGCAGGUUAAUACCCCGCUGUUCUGACGGUACCCAAAGAAUAAGCACCGGCUAACUUCGUG
rnacentral:rRNA from 1 species